rnacentral:tRNA from 1 species
GGCCCGGUGGCUCAGCUGGUUAGAGCGCCGCCCUGUCACGGCGGAGGUCGUGGGUUCGAACCCCAUCCGGGUCGC